GGGGGGUCAAGACAGAGAUGAGACCCCCUAGACAUCUGCUUGUAAUUUGCAUUUCCCUGGACAAACCCUUUCAUGCUACAGAUCCAAUCUUAACCUAUCCCUUACCCCCUUUCCUAUCCUACCCUAUCUUCCCCACAACCACCCCCUCCUCUAUCGAAGUGGCUGGGGCUUUCUCCCGGGAAACCUGAUCUCUAACCCAGCUGCUCCCAAUCAGGUGGAUUACUGACGUCAGGCAGGGCCCCGCCCUGACCUAUAUAAGCCUCUAGAGUGGGAGGGCAUUUCCGAGCUGAAUGAGUUUUCUUUUUUAUGUCUGUGCCUGUUGAGUUUGGGAGGAGGAAAAAGCUGUUGGGGCUCAAUGAGGUGUUAACUUUUGGAUGUGCUUGUCUUCUGGAUUCUCCAAGAGUCCCCUUCCAAUCUUAUAGGUUCAGGAUCAUUUUAAUGGAGUGGUCCCAGACGAUACGAUACAGGUCCAGCAUCAGAUGAAUGGGGAGGACACAGUUGAUACAACAUUGGUGUGGCGUUCAAGACCAGGAUCCACAGCUCCAGACACAGACCUCAUCUCAAGUGCUCCAUUGUGACACCCCACUCGAUCGGGUAGGGGAUCUUCUGCGCCAUCCCCCGAGAAGGUCUCGGUGUGCAUAAACCUUGCUUCAUGGACCAUCUCUCUUAUGUGGACACGAGCCAAUUCCCAGAAAUGCCCUGCUUGUCAAGAUGGUCAUGAUGAGGGCACUGAGGCACAGAACGGUGAAGUGACUGGCUCCCGGGCACCCAGGGGACGAGUGGAGCCGGGAUGAAAACACGGAAGCCCUGACUCGCAGCCGUGCAUUCCUUCAACAGGGCCGACUGUCAGGUAUCUUGCUAGGGAUUUUAUGGGUAGACUUGUAAGUCU